ACUGAUAGGAUAAAACCGUCUCUUCAAUAAGCUCUACACUAUUAUAGCUUUCAUCACCAAAGCCUCUGCAAAAAUGGCUUCCGCUCUUCACUCAAAUCUCAAUUUUCUUCAUCAUUCUCUGAAACCCAAUCCAAUCACCACCCAGUCAACCAACUUCCAUCAUAUUCCCAUACGGUGCGGCCCGCGAAGCAACCGUGGACCUCUAGUCAAAGGCAGAAUCCUAAGCAUAGAAGCAAUCCAAGCCAUCCAAUCCCUAAAACGUGCCCAAAAAACAAACUCACUGAGCCCCUCCUACCCCUCCCUCUCCCGCCUCCUCAAGGCCGACCUCCUCGCCGCCCUCCGUGAGCUCCUCCGCCAGGGAGAGUGCGCCGUCGCCCUCCACGUCUUCUCCAUCAUCAGGGCAGAAUACCCGGAUCAGGACUUGGGUUUACUCGCAGAUAUGAUCAGUGCGCUGGGUAAGAAUGGAAUGGGAGACGAGAUUGACCGUCUGAUUGACGAGUUGGAGGAGAUCGACGGUGGUGAUGAAAAGGGUCUUUCGAGAGUGAUUAAGGGUGUGAUUGGAGCCGGGUCGAAGGCAUCAACGGUCAGGAUAUGUGAGGCGAUGAAAAGAAGUGGGGUGGGGUCCAGUUGGAAAGUUGAUGAGUAUGUGGGUAAGGUUUUGAGGAAAGGGUUGAGAGGAUUUGGAGAGUUUGAGUUGGCUAAUGAGGUUGAAAGGGAAUUUUGUUGGGAUUUUAGGGUCAUCAAUACCUAUUUCAAUAUCAAGAGUUAAUCAGUUCGAUGCUGCAAGAUUGGACAUAGAAUGUCAGCGAUGUUAAAAGAACAGUUGGUUAAGGUCUUCUCUUUGAUGAAGGAAUGUUAUUUCAAUAUGAACCAGAACUUGAUGCAUUCCUUGAGUUUCUCAUCUGGCGGUUCUCAGUUUCGGUAGAUAAGCCAACUCCAGGGAAUGCUCUAAUGAAUUUGAGAUAUAGAGACGAACGUGCAGUGGAAGCAAG